AGAUUGAACGCUGGCGGCAUGCCUAACACAUGCAAGUCGAACGGGAGUAGCAAUACUCUAGUGGCGGACGGGUGAGGAAUACGUAGGAAUUUGCCCUUAAGUGGGGGAUAACCCGGGGAAACCCGGAUUAAUACCGCAUGACCUCGAAAGAGCAAAGUGGGGGAUCGCAAGACCUCACGCUUUUGGAGAAGCCUACGUCGGAUUAGCUAGUUGGUGAGGUAAUGGCUCACCAAGGCGACGAUCCGUAACUGGUCUGAGAGGAUGAUCAGUCACACCGGAACUGAGACACGGUCCGACUCCUACGGGAGGCAGCAGGUGGGAAUNUUGGACAAUGGGGCGCAAGCCUGAUCCAGCAAUGCCG
rnacentral:rRNA from 1 species